rnacentral:rRNA from 1 species
UACGUAGGGUGCAGGCGUUAAUCGGAAUUACUGGGCGUAAAGCGUGCGCAGGCGGUUUCUUAAGUCUGAUGUGAAAGCCCCGGGCUCAACCUGGGAACUGCAUUGGAAACUAACGGGCUCGAGUGUGGUAGAGGGGGAUGGAAUUCCGCGUGUAGCAGUGAAAUGCGUAGAUAUGCGGAGGAACACCGAUGGCGAAGGCAAUCCCCUGGACCUGUACUGACGCUCAUGCACGAAAGCGUGGGGAGCAAACAGG